UGGACAUCCUCACAUUUUGCAUGAUGACAUCAAACAUCAGCUAAAACACCAUAGGAAAAGCAUUGGUCCUAAUGAGCGUGCGGUGCUUGCUGCGCAUGCAAAUUAGGAGGAGAAGCAAAUGUGGAGACUGACCCAGCGCUGAGGGACAUCGACGCUGGAUUCAGGUAAGUGAUAGAAGGGUUUUUAACCCUUGUUGCAUCCCAAACCACUGGGACACAUAUAUGUCUUAAUUUUGGGACAUGUUGAGGUGGUGAUUGUUGAUAGUGAG